AUCGCUUCUCGGCCUUUUGGCUAAGAUCAAGUAUAGUAUCUGAUCUUAUCAAAUAUUUGUUUACAUUUCUACUUCAU
rnacentral:snRNA from 1 species